GGCCAGACUCCUACGGGAGGCAGCAGUGAGGAAUAUUGGUCAAUGGCCGAGAGGCUGAACCAGCCAAGUCGCGUGAGGGAAGAAUGUCCUAUGGAUUGUAAACCUCUUUUGUCAGGGAGCAAAGUCACCCACGUGUGGGUGUUGGAGAGUACCUGAAGAAAAAGCAUCGGCUAACUCCGUGCCAGCAGCCGCGGUAAUACGGAGGAUGCGAGCGUUAUCCGGAUUUAUUGGGUUUAAAGGGUGCGUAGGCGGGACCUUAAGUCAGCGGUAAAAUUGCGGUGCUCAACGCCGUAGAGCCGUUGAAACUGGGGUUCUUGAGUGAGCGAGAAGUAUGCGGAAUGCGUGGUGUAGCGGUGAAAUGCAUAGAUAUCACGCAGAACCCCGAUUGCGAAGGCAGCAUACCGGCGCUCAACUGACGCUGAGGCACGAAAGUGCGGGUAUCGAACAGGAUUAGAUACCCUCGUA
rnacentral:rRNA from 1 species